GGCCCAGUGGCGGAUGGUCCGCGUCUGCAAUUCUUGAUCGGGGAAAAUUAUUGAAUAGACAGAUGGUGCUCGUUCGAAUCGAGCCUGGGCCA